UACGGAGGGUGCAAGCGUUAUCCGGAUUCACUGGGUUUAAAGGGUGCGUAGGUGGGUUGGUAAGUCAGUGGUGAAAUCCCCGAGCUUAACUUGGGAACUGCCAUUGAUACUAUCAGUCUUGAAUAUUGUGGAGGUUAGCGGAAUAUGUCAUGUAGCGGUGAAAUGCUUAGAUAUGACAUAGAACACCAAUUGCGAAGGCAGCUGGCUACACAUAUAUUGACACUGAGGCACGAAAGCGUGGGGAUCAAGCAGG
rnacentral:rRNA from 1 species